UACGAAGGGGGCUAGCGUUGCUCGGAAUCACUGGGCGUAAAGCGCACGUAGGCGGAUUGCUAAGUCAGGGGUGAAAUCCUGGAGCUCAACUCCAGAACUGCCCUUGAUACUGGCGGUCUCGAGACCGGGAGAGGUGAGUGGAACUGCGAGUGUAGAGGUGAAAUUCGUAGAUAUUCGCAAGAACACCAGUGGCGAAGGCGGCUCACUGGCCCGGUACUGACGCUGAGGUGCGAAAGCGUGGGGAGCAAACAGG
rnacentral:rRNA from 1 species